rnacentral:rRNA from 1 species
CGCGUAGGCGGCUUGCACCGUCAGAUGUGAAAUUCCUGGGCUUAACCUGGGGGCUGCAUUUGAUACGUGUGGGCUUGAGUGCGGAAGAGGGUCGUGGAAUUCCCAGUGUAGAGGUGAAAUUCGUAGAUAUUGGGAAGAACACCGGUGGUGAAGGCGGCGACCUGGUCCGUGACUGACGCUGAGGCGCGAAAGCGUGGGGAGCAAACA